GUCUACAGCCAUACUACCCUGAAUGUGCCAAUCUCAUCUGAUCUUGUGAAGCUAAGCAGGGUCAGGCCUGGUUAGUACUUGGAUGGGAGACAAAUGCAACAGGAGUUUGAGGUGCAGAUAACU
ensembl:rRNA 5S_rRNA 5S ribosomal RNA